CCUGCCGAAUGAAUUAGCCCUGAAAAUGGAUGGCGCUGAAGCGAGUAGCCGACACUGCGCCGUCUGUGCAAAACUUGAUAAAUAAUGUUUCAGAUGAGUAGGAGGAAUGUGGCGGUUGUAUUGAAGCGUGUGCGCAAGCAUGCGUGGAACGGCCGCUAGUACAGAUCUUGGUGGUAGUAGCAAAUAUUCAAAUGAGAACCUUGAAGGGCGAAGCGGGGAAGGGUUCCACGCGAACAUUGAUUGGGCGUGGGUGAGUCGUUCCUAAGCCGUAUGGUAAUUGUUAGGCAAUCGGCGAAAGGGAAGCAGGUUGAUAUUCCUGCACACGGAUGUGGAUAUGCGGUGACGCACACUGGGGCGGUGAAGUCGUCGGUUGCACUGGGCAGAGAUUUCUUUUCUGUUUAACGGAGCCUGACUGUACGCUAUGGAAUCCGCUUGUCGGGAGAAAUAGGUAUGUCACGGCAAAGCGCCGGGUUUUUUUCCGGCGUCCAGUUUGCGACUGGCGGACCUUGAAAAACUGUCUGCUGGCAAAGCACUCGUUGUUUUGUGUGAAAAAUUCCACGCCGUAACGUACCCAUAACCGCAUCAGGUCCCCAAGGUGAACAGCCUCUGCUCGAUAUGAAAAAUGCAGGUGAGGGAAGUCGGCAAAUUAGACCCGUAACUUUGGGAAAAGGGUUGGCUCUAGUGCUGCGUAGGAGUGGUUGCCGGUAGGGCUCUGGGAUUGUGGUGCUUGGCGCUAUGUGGAGGAUGCGGGAGGACUCUGUUCGCCCGUGCCUCUGCGUAAAACCGAGCACUCUUUUCCGGGCUCUCUGGUAACGCCUACAGCAUGCAGCAAACUAGAACUGCAACGGACAAAGGGAAUCCGACUGUUUAAUUAAAACAAAGCAU
rnacentral:rRNA from 1 species